rnacentral:sRNA from 1 species
CUUGGCUGUCUCUGGGAGCAGGGCUGGGGUACCUGAGUGGGGUGCAUUUGGGGUGUGUGGGAAGGAGAGGGAAAGAAAGAUGGACAGUGGGACUCCCCCCUAGCAGGGUCUGGUGUUCCGUAGGCUAGAGUGCCCCUCUACUCUGCGAGUGCUGGGCGGGAGGGGAGUUGGUGAGAGCUGGAGACCCUCAGGAAGGGCUGGCAGAAGCCUUUCCUUUUGGGUGCUGUCAGGUCCGCAUGUCUUGGUGUGUUGACCUUCACAGCUUCUGGCGAGGGGAGGAAUGAUCUGGUGAGGGUGGGGAGGGUUAGGGGAGGCCUCAGGCCUAAGGUGGUGCAGGGGGCCCCCUAGGGGCUGGGCAGUGCCAAGGCAUAAAAGCCUUCCCUGGUCCCUGUUGGCAUUUGAAGGUGCCCAGGUGAGAGGGGCUUGGCACUUCCUCACCCUGGGAGGGAGAAGAAACCAGGGAACAGGUGGGAGUGGGAGACAGGUGAGGCUUUGGAAAUCUAUUGAGGCUCUGGAGAGAUUUGUGUAGAGAGGAAAAUGGGGUUCUCCCCCAGGGUCUCCUCCUGGGUUUUUACCCUCGAAGCAACCUGUGGGCAUGCUGGGUUAUUCCUAAGGACUGGAAGAGCUUGGAUGGGGGAGGGUGGUUGGUGCCCUUCGGUCCUCGGCACCCCCCUCCGUCUCCAACACCAGCUCACCCUGGUAUUUGUCAUGUCAGCAGGAGAAGGUCACCAUGUUGUUGUUCUCGCCCCCAGUCCCUCCUUCCUGCCUCAGUCCAAAUUUGUCCUCCUAUUUGACCUUAAUACUUACCAUGGCUUUGGACCAGGGAAUCAGGGGGAUAGUGAGAACAGGGAGAGGGAAGUGUGGGGGAGGUACAGGGGACCUCGACAGUGAAGCAUUCUGGGGUUUUCCUCCUGCAUUUCGAGCUCCCCAGCCCCUAACAUCUGGUUAGUCUUUAACUUCCUCGGGUUCAUAACCAUAGCAGUCCGGGAGUGGUGGGCAUAUUCGGUGCCCGUGGGGACCCCCGGUUGUGUCCUGUUCGACUCAGAAGACUUGGAGAAGCCAGAGGCUGUUGGUGGGAGGGAAGUGAGGAGGGACGAGGGGCUGGGUGGCUGGGCCUGUGCACCCCAGCCCCUGCCCAUGCCCAUGCCUUGCUCUCUUUCUGUCCUCAGUGGUCCCAGGCUGCACCCAUGGUAGAAGGAGGAGGGCAGAAUCAUCACGAAGGUGAGUCCCCCUGGCCCUGGAUGGGGUUCCCUGUCCUCUCAGGGGAUGGGUGGAUGGCCUAAUUCCUUUUCCUUCAGACCUGUGGGGAGGAAGGGAAAUGGGCACAGGAAUAUAAGGAUCAAGAAAGAAAGAGCUGGGCACCAUGAGGUUCACCCUCAGUUUCGUGAGGACUCUCCGCUGCUCAGGUGUCUGCUAGAAGUAGGACUUGUUGCCUUUUUCUUCUGCUGUUUCCAGUAAAAUUUUAUUCGGAGAAGGAGUCGUGCGCACAGAGCAGGAAGACAGUGUUCAGGGAUCCUAGAUGUUGGAGGAAGUGUCCCUUGUCUCCCCUAGCUCCCAGGGGAGGGUGGACAUUUAGUGUCAUUUCCUAUAUAGACAUGUCCCACUUGUGGGAACUGUGACCCUUCCUGUGUGAGCUGGAGGUACAGAGGGGUCAGCCUAAUGGGAUCUCCCCUCCCUUCCCUGGUUUGCCUUCCUUUGGGGGUGGAGAAAACCCCACUUGACUAUGUUCGGGUGCUGUGAACUUCCCUCCCAGGCCAGCAGAGGGCUGGCUGUAGCUCCCAGGCGCCCCGCCCCCCUGCCCAACCCCGAGUCCGCCUGCCUUUUGUUCCGUUGUGGUUUGGAUCCUCCCAUUUCUCUGGGGACACCCUGGCUUUCCCCACCGCUGACUGUGGCCUGUGCUCUCCACCUCUGGGGAGGGAAGGCCCUGGGGUCUUCCUUCCCACGAGUUUCCCUGACCUAAAUCUGGCGUGGCUGGGUAGUGGCCAGCAGUGGUGAUGCCCAGCCUGUUCUGCCUCCUCCUUCCCCACCCCAGGAGCCCUUUCCUUGGCCUAGGACCUGGCUUCUCAGCCACUGACCGGCCCCCUGCUUCCAGUGCGCCACUUACCCCUUCCAGCUUCCCAGUGGUCUCUGGUCUGGGAGAGGCAGGACAAAUGGUCUUUGUUUGCUGGAGAAAAGGUUGUCUGCGAUAAAUAAGGAAAACCACGAAAGCCUGGUUGUUGGAGUGUAUGUGUGUGCUCCCCCAGGCAGUGGAGGCCAGCCCUCCUUGGAGGGGCGGCUGCCUGAUGAAGGAUGCGGGUGAGGAUCCCCCCCUCCACCUCCCAUGGGACUUGGGGAUUCAUUCCAAGGGGAAGCUUUUUGGGGGAAUUCCUACCCCAGGUCUUUUUACCCUCAGUUACCAACCCCUUGCCCAGGCCAGAACUUUCUGCUAUCCCCUCCUGGGCCACAAGCCUGGCCCUCCUCUGUCCCAAUCAUGAUGAAGCGGCAGUUCAAAACUUCUUGAUCAGUCAUCUUCUCCCCUAUCGACUUGGCUUUAAAAAAUGACCUUUUCAGACUUCUGGUCUUGUUCACUCUUUUUGAUGAUGCUUUGCCGUAACCCUUCGUGGGUAGAGAAGGAUUCUGUGCCCGUUGGUGGUCUGGAUAAAAGAAGUAGAGACCUCACAGGAGGCAGUGGACUGGCCUGUUUCCCCAGUGUUCUUUCUGUUUUCACACCUGUGGCCUUCUCCCUACCUUCUUCCCAAUCAACCUGUUGUGUACAUAGUCCCCCUCGUUGUCCUUUAUUCUUCUGGAAAGCAGACCUUGGAGGGAGGAGUGAGGGGGAGGCUCAGCUGUGGUCUCUGGGGGGUGGGGGUUGGGAGCUGGGGUGGAAGUCCACGAGGCAUACACUUAAGAUGCUUUGGUGAAGUUGUAAACUUCAUAUUACCCAGGCUGAAAAAAGAGCACUUGUUCCCAGGGCUGGAAAUGGAAGCCAAAACACCACCUUUUCAGCCUGUUUCAGCAUCUUUAGAGAUCAGCCCAACCCACUUACACAGUUGAGCAGAGUUGGAGGCCUAGAGAGGGGAGAGACUGGCCCAAGGUCAUACCAACUCAUGGCCAGAGCCUGGGCCUCCUCACUGGCCAGGUGUUAUUUCUUCCCUCUGUGUAGGGAACCUAUUUCAGGGACAGGAUUGCUAUGUGGUAGUGGUGGUGGGGUGCGAUAGGCGUGGCAGGCUGGGCCACAAUUUGGAGUAGUCAUGCCAGAGUCCUGCAUUUAUUUAUUCUCAAGGGCCCCACCCCUGUGGCCCAGAAUUACCCCUUCAUGCUCCAGUGCACCCCUGGUCUCCCUUCAGAUCAGCUUCUAGAAAUGUUUCGUGGCUACAGUGGCAGCACUGUUUUUUCCAUGAUGCAAGCAGUUUGCCCUCUUGGGCGGGGUUAUCAGUGGCUGGCAGGGCUGGCACAGCGUGUCCGCCCACUGCCACCUGUGGGUUCCAGGAGGGCCCAGCCCCUGUGCUGAUGCCCACCACCUUCUCAGCUCAUGUCUGGGGAAGAGGACUGGCAGGGGGAAAGGUGCCUCCUCCUGAAAGGUGCCUCCUCUGUUUUUGCCUAAUAUAGGCUUGGGAACACUUUGAUGUCAGCUAAUUCUGACUCCUUUACUUACUAGCUGUGCGGCCUUGGGGCAACUUACUUAGCCUCUUUGAGCCUCCUGUUCCCCAUCUGUAAAAUGGGAUCUCAAUAGUGUCUAAUAGUACCAUGUGGAGAAACUUGUGUGAGAUGAUAGCUGUGGACUACUGUACACAGUACCCAGGAUGUAGUAAGUGCUCAAUAAAUAGCUGUUGGUAUGGUUGAUGUUAUGGUAGUGGUUGUGGGGAGGACGUAGGAAACUGGAGACUAGCUUGGCAAAGCUGGCUCUUCCUCCUUUUAGGGAAAGCUUAGAGCAUCCCCAUGGGGUAUACCCAUACUCAAAACUGUCCUCUGGCAUCGAGGUUGGCCCAGGAUUCAGUUCAGCUGUCACAGUGAGGUGGCGGGAUCAGAUGUGGCAGGCCAUGUCCCUUGGAACUUGAGUACAUCGUGUGAUCUCUGGAAUGAAAACAGGCCUUCACCAGUGUUGAUGGUGGAAAGCUUAGGGAAGUGCUUCAAACACAGUGGGAGGGACUUAAGUUAGAUUUUUGGAAGGACUUGCCUGAUUCGGAAGCUCCAAAGAGUGGCAUUACAGAGCUGGGUGGAGAGAGGGGCUAGCCAUCUUUUGUGUCGCCCACUGGGCUCAUGUGUCGUCGCCUCUCAUGCAGUGGUGAAGUUCAUGGAUGUCUAUCAGCGCAGCUACUGCCAUCCAAUCGAGACCCUGGUGGACAUCUUCCAGGAGUACCCUGAUGAGAUCGAGUACAUCUUCAAGCCAUCCUGUGUGCCCCUGAUGCGAUGCGGGGGCUGCUGCAAUGACGAGGGCCUGGAGUGUGUGCCCACUGAGGAGUCCAACAUCACCAUGCAGAUUAUGCGGAUCAAACCUCACCAAGGCCAGCACAUAGGAGAGAUGAGCUUCCUACAGCACAACAAAUGUGAAUGCAGACCAAAGAAAGAUAGAGCAAGACAAGAAAAGUAAGUGGCCCUGACUUCAGCACUUCUCCCUCUCCAUGGCCGGUUGUCUUGGUUUGGGGCUCUUGGCUACCUCUGUUGGGGGCUCCCAUCGCCUCCCUGGGUCAGGGACUUGGUCUUGUGGGGGAUUUGUGGUGGCAGCAACAAUGGGAUGGAGCCAACUCCAGGAUGAUGGCUCUAGGGCUAGUGAGAAAACAUAGCCAGGAGCCUGGCACUUCCUUGGAAGGGACAAUGCCUUCUGGGUCUCCAGAUCAUUCCUGGCCAGGACAUGCUGUUUCGGUGUGUCGGGGGCACUGUGGACACUGGCUCACUGGCUCGAUCUAGGGCACCCACAGUGGGGAGAGGGAGUGGGUGGCAGAGAGGCCAGCUGUUGUGUGUCAGAGGAAAUGGCCUCUUUUGGUGGCUGCUGUGAUGGUGCAGUUGGAUGUGAGGCCGGCUGGAGGGUGGUUUCUCAGUGCAUGCCCUCCUGUAGGCGGAAGGCGGCAGACACACAGCCCUCUUGGCCAGGGUGAAAAAGUUGAAUGUUGGUCAUUUUCAGAGGCUUGUGAGUGCUCCGUGUUAAGGGGCGGGUAGGAUGGGGCGGGGGACAAGGUCUGGCGGCAGUAACCCUUCAAGACAGGGUGGGUGGCUGGCAUCGGCAAGAGCUUGCAGGGAAAGAGAGACUGAGAGAGAGCACCUGUGCCCUGCCCUUUCCCCCACAUCAUCUUGUCUGCCUCCAGUGCUGUGGGGACAUUGAAGCCCCCCCAGGCCUCAACCCCUUGCCUGUUCCCUCAGCCCCCAGCUUCCAGAGCGAGAGGAUGCGGAAACCUUCCUUCCACCCUUUGGUGCUUUCUCCUAAGGGGGACAGACUUGCCCUCUCUGGUCCCUUCUCCCCCUCCUGCCUUCCCUGUGACAGACAUUCUGAGGUGUGUUCUCUUGGGCCUGGCAGUCAUGGUGAGCGCUGGUUCUCUUGAAGGGGACAGGCUACAGCCUGCCCCCCUUCCCGUUUCCCCAAAUGACUGCUCUGCCACGGGGAGAGUAGGGGGCUCGCCUGGGCUCGGAAGAGUGUCUGGAGAUGGUGUAGCAGGCUUUGACAGGCUGGGGAGAGAACUCCCUGCCAAGUACCGCCCAAGCCCCUCCUCCCCAGCCCUCCUUAACUCCCACCCCACCCUGCUGCCUGCCCGGGGCUCCAGGACACCCAGCCCUGCCUCCCAGUCCAGGUCAUGCUGAGCAGGCUGGUGUUGCUCUUGGUUCUGUGCCAGCUCGCAAGGUAGCUGCUUCCCCCACACCGGGAUUCCCAGAGGUUCUGUCGCAGUUGGAAAUGAAGGCAGAAGGUGCCUGACACACAGCCUUCCCUCCCCACUCCUGCUCCCCAUCCAGGCAGGUCUCUGACCUUCUCCCCAAAGUCUGGCCUACCUUUUAUCACCCCCUGACCUUCAGGGUCAGACUUGGACAGGGCUGCUGGGCAAAGAGCCUUCCCUCGGGCUUAGCCCCCUGCCGGGGACUGGGAGCCACUGUGAGUGUGGAGACCUUUGGGUCCUGUGCCCUCCACCCAGUCUCGGCUUCCCACCAAAGCCUUGUCAGGGGCUGGGUUUGCCAUCCCAGGGUGGGCAGCGUGAGGAGAAGAAAGAGCCAUCGCGUGCUUGCUGCCCAGACACGCCUGUGCGUGCCCGCGCAUGCCUCCCCAGAGACCACCUGCCUCCUGACACUUCCUCCAGGAAGCGGCCCUGUGUGGCUUUGCUUUGGUCGUUCCCCCAUCCCUGCCCUCCUUAUCACUUCUUUUACUCCCCCCCACCGCCCCCGCUCUCUCUCUGUCUCUGUUUUUUUAUUUUCCAGAAAAUCAGUUCGAGGAAAGGGAAAGGGGCAAAAACGAAAGCGCAAGAAAUCCCGGUAUAAGUCCUGGAGCGUGUACGUUGGUGCCCGCUGCUGUCUAAUGCCCUGGAGCCUCCCUGGCCCCCAGUCCAACCUCCGCCUGCCAUUCCCUAUAACCCUGCCUCCCUCUCCUGGUCCCUCCCUGGCUCUCAUCCCCUGGCCCGUGUCUCUCUCUCACUCUCACUCCACUAAUUGGCACCAACGGGUAGAUUUGGUGGUGGCAUUGCUGGUCCAGGGUUGGGGUGAAUGGGGGUGCCGACUUGGCCUGGAGGAUUAAGGGAGGGGACUCUGGCUUGGCUGGGCACCGAUUUUCUCUCACCCACUGGGCACUGGUGGUGGGCCCAUGUUGGCACAGGUGCCUGCUCACCCAACUGGUUUCCAUUGCUCUAGGCUUCUGCACUCGUCUGGAAGCUGAGGGUGGUGGGGAGGGCAGACAUGGCCCAAGAAGGGCUGUGAAUGACUGGAGGCAGUUUGUUGAAUGACUCCUCGGCUGAAGGAGGAGCUUGGGUGGGAUCAGACACCAUGUGGCGGCCUCCCUUCAUCUGGUGGAAGUGCCCUGGCUCCUCACGGAGUUGGGGCCUCUGGAGGGGAGCCCCCUAUUCCAGCCCAACCCAUGGCACCCACAGAGGCCUCCUUGCAGGGCAGCCUCUUCCUCUGGGUUGGAGGCUAUGGUGGGCCCUGCCCUGGGCCCUCUGGCCACCAGCGGCCUGGCCUGUGGACACUGCCUCUGGGCUUAGCCUCCCGUCACACCCUACUUUAGCCCACCUUGGUGGAAGGGCCUGGACAUGAGCCUUGCACAGGGAGAAGGUGGCCCCUGCCAUCUCAGUGGCCCCUGAUUGCCAUCCCCAGCAGGUGAAGAGUCAAGGCACGCUCCGAUGGGGGCAACAGCAGUUGGGUCCCUGUGGCCUGAGACUCACCCUUGUCUCCCAGAGACACAGCAUUGCCCCUUAUGGCAGCCUCUCCCUGCACUCUCUGCCCGUCUGUGCCCGCCUCUUCCUGCGGCAGGUGUCCUAGCCAGUGCUGCCUCUUUCCGCCGCUCUCUCUGUCUUUUGCUAUAGCGCUCGGAUCCUUCCAGGGCCUGGGGGCUGACCAGCUGGGUGGGGGUGCAGCUGCGGACAUGUCGGGGUGUUGCAUGGUGAUUUUUUUUCUCUCUCUCUGCUGAUGCUCUAGCUUAGAUGUCUUUCCUUUUGCCUUUUUGCAGUCCCUGUGGGCCUUGCUCAGAGCGGAGAAAGCAUUUGUUUGUACAAGAUCCGCAGACGUGUAAAUGUUCCUGCAAAAACACAGACUCGCGUUGCAAGGCGAGGCAGCUUGAGUUAAACGAACGUACUUGCAGGUUGGUUCCCAGAGGGCAAGCAAGUCAGAGAGGGGCAUCACACAGAGAUGGGGAGAGAGAGAGAGAGAAAGAGAGCGAGCGAGCGAGCGAGCGAGAGAGCGCCUGAGAGGGGCCAGCUGCUUGCUCAGUUUCUAGCUGCCUGCCUGGUGACUGCUGCCUUCUCUGCUUUUAAGGCCCCUGUGGUGGGCUGCAGGCACUGGUUCAGCCUGGCAGGGCCUAUUCCGAGGUUGCCCUGGUUGCCUGAGUGGUAGGCUGGUGUGGCUUAGUGUGGUGGUGUGGACGCAAGCUGUGUGUUGUGUCCUGUGGUCCUUCUGCUCGUAGUGGCUGUUGGUCCUGAUGUUAUUACUACCUCUGGUAGUAAUGCUGAGAAGCUGAAAGCCGAUUCCAGGUGUGGACAAUGUCAACAAAGCACAGACGCUCUCACUGGGGCCUUGCCUCAGCCCUUUGAAGUCUGCAUGGCUGGGCUUCUCACUCACUCAGUGUUUCUUGAUGGGGGAAGGGAUUGAGUCUCCCACUUCAGACUGGGUCUUCCUGAGGAAAGGGCUGUGUCUCGCCACUGAUAGGGCUGUCUCCCUGCUCAGACUGGGGCUCCCUCAGGCCAGGGCUAUGUCUCGGGCUCUCUGAGGGCAAGGGCUCUGGCUGUUGGUUUAGGAUGGGGCAGUUUUGCCUACACACUGAAGGAGCUGUAGCAUCCGAGAAUACUAGAUACCUUUAAUCCUCCACCAGUCAUGGUGACAACCCCAAGCAGCCCACACAUUUUCAAGUGCCCCCAGGAUGCAUGGAGGGAGGGGUCUGUGCCCAUUCUCCUGACAUUAGACUGUGAGCUCCGUAAGCCCAGGCCUGGUUUACCUACCUUUGUGAGCCCCGGGCAUCUGUACCUCUGUCCCUUGUCCAUACUGGGGACCAAGGAAGUGUCAAGUGCAUGAGUGAAUGCGUGACUCAGUUCAGGGGGUGAGGUCAGGAGCACAGGGCCGGGACAGGUGGCUGGCAAUCUUUUAAUGCCUUAGCCUGUGUUCUUUACAGCAACUUGGCCUGUGCUCAGAGAGAGGGAGGCCCUGGGGGUCAGGGUAAGCUUCACUCAGGGAGGCAAGACUUUGUGGGGAUUUCCUAGACAGGGCCAAGGCACCCCCAGCUCGCCCUGAGGCUGCGUUAGGGAAGUCCUUGGAGUGUCUCCCCUCCUCCAGCAAUGUUCUUGUGGCUUGUGGGUGCUCAGGGGAUGCUGGGAACCAGGCCUGGGUAGUUGGUGUGGGGUGCUGUCUGUCUUGGCCCUAUGUGAAACCAACAGGGUAUAUAUUAGUGCUGGGGGUGGGGGCUCUGCCUAGCUUCAGGGCUGGAUGAGGGGAGUCUCAGUUCCCCAGGGGUCCUUGGGAAAGAUAAGGGACUUGACAUUUUAGGGUUUUUAGGUGAUUAUUCUGCUGAUGGGGGUUUGUGUGAAGUGACCUGGGAGCUAACUGAAGUUACUCUAACCUCCCAAUACCUUUACCCAACCCCCAAGCUGGCUGUAUCUGGGAAUAUCAGUUUCCAAAAUUGGAGGCUUAGGACUCCAUUUCCAGGCUUCCCAGAAGGGUAGGGCCUGUUCUGCCUCCUCCUCACAAUCACCCAGGGGCAGGGGCAUGCUGAGAAAGUUCUUGGAGGCCCCCUUUGCUUCAGCUGGAGUAGUGAAGCCGCCGAAUUGUCUCUCCCCAUCCUAAGUGAAGCAGCAUAUUUGAAAGGAAAGACAACCUGUUACCUGGGCCUACAACCUCCAGGAAGCUCAAGAGAGAUGAGGCCUACAGCCACACUGGGAGAGGACAUGGGGAAUGGAGAUGUUCCCUCACCUUCCUGGGGCCUCCUGCUCUACGCUACCGCCUCGGGAGCCUCCUGUCCCCAGGGCAGGCCCUUGCCGUUGUUGGCCACCCGGCCAAGCCUCUCUGCCUCAGGCGUUCUCCCAGAUGAUCUGUCCACUCUCUUCCCCACACCAGCCCCUAUAGACUGAACUGAAAAACCUCCUCAGCAGGGAGCCUCUUCUGAUUAACUUCAUCCAGCUCUGGUCACCCAUCAGCUCUUAAAAUGUCAAGUGGGGACUGUUCUUUGGUAUCCGUUCAUUUGUUGCUUUGUAAAGUGUUCCCAUGUCCUUGUCUUGUCUCAAGUAGAUUGCAAGCUCAGGAGGGUAGACUGGGAGCCCCUGAGUGGAGCUGCUGCUCAGGCCGGGGCUUCCUGACGGCAGGGCUGGGGCUGUUCUCACACUGGGGCUUUCUGCCCCAGGACCGCACCUUCCUGUCCUCUCUGCUCUUAUGGUGCCGGAGGCUGCAGUGACCCAGGGGCCCCCAGGAAUGGGGAGGCCGCCUGCCUCAUCGCCAGGCCUCCUCACUUGGCCCUAACCCCAGCCUUUGUUUUCCAUUUCCCUCAGAUGUGACAAGCCGAGGCGGUGAGCCGGGCAGGAGGAAGGAGCCUCCCUCAGGGUUUCGGGAACCAGAUCUCUCACCAGGAAAGACUGAUACAGAACGAUCGAUACAGAAACCACGCUGCCGCCACCACACCAUCACCAUCGACAACAGUCCUUAAUCCAGAAACCUGAAAUGAAGGAAGAGGAGACUCUGCGCAGAGCACUUUGGGUCCGGAGGGCGAGACUCCGGCAGAAGCAUUCCCGGGCGGGUGACCCAGCACGGUCCCUCUUGGAAUUGGAUUCGCCAUUUUAUUUUUCUUGCUGCUAAAUCACCGAGCCCGGAAGAUUAGAGAGUUUUAUUUCUGGGAUUCCUGUAGACACACCCACCCACAUACAUACAUUUAUAUAUAUAUAUUAUAUAUAUAUAAAAAUAAAUAUCUAUAUUUUAUAUAUAUAAAAUAUAUAUAUUCUUUUUUUAAAUUAACAGUGCUAAUGUUAUUGGUGUCUUCACUGGAUGUAUUUGACUGCUGUGGACUUGAGUUGGGAGGGGAAUGUUCCCACUCAGAUCCUGACAGGGAAGAGGAGGAGACGAAAGACUCUGGCAUGAUCUUUUUUUUUGUCCCACUUGGUGGGGCCAGGGUCCUCUCCCCUGCCCAGGAAUGUGCAAGGCCAGGGCAUGGGGGCAAAUAUGACCCACUUUUGGGAACACCGACAAACCCAGCCCUGGCGCUGAGCCUCUACCCCAGGUCAGACGGACAGAAAGACAGAUGACAGGUACAGGGAUGAGGACACUGGCUCUGACUAGGAGUUUGGGGAGCUUCAGGACAUUGCUGUGCUUUGGGGAUUCCCUCCACAUGCUGCAUGCGCAUCUCGCCCCCAGCGGCACUGCUUGGAAGAUUCAGGAGCCUGGGCGGCCUUCACUUAUCCUUACCUGCUUCUGAGUUGCCCAGGAGGCCGCUGGCAGAUGUCCCGGCGAAGAGAAGAGACACAUUGUUGGAAGAAGCAGCCCAUGACAGCUCCCCUUCCUGGGACUCACCCUCAUCCUCUUCCUGCUCCCCUUCCUGGGGUGCAGCCUGAAAGGACCUAUGUCCUCACACCAUUGAAACCACUAGUUCUGUCCCCCCAGGAGACCUGGUUGUGUGUGUGUGAGUGGUUGACCUUCCUCCAUCCCCUGGUCCUUCCCUUCCCUUCCCGAGGCACAGAGAGACAGGGCAGGAUCCACGUGCCCAUUGUGGAGGCAGAGAAAAGAGAAAGUGUUUUAUAUACGGUACUUAUUUAAUAUCCCUUUUUAAUUAGAAAUUAAAACAGUUAAUUUAAUUAAAGAGUAGGGUUUUUUUCAGUAUUCUUGGUUAAUAUUUAAUUUCAACUAUUUAUGAGAUGUAUCUUUUGCUCUCUCUCGCUCUCUUAUUUGUACUGGUUUUUGUAUAUAAAAUUCAUGUUUCCAAUCUCUCUCUCCCUGAUCGGUGACAGUCACUAGCUUAUCUUGAACAGAUAUUUAAUUUUGCUAACACUCAGCUCUGCCCUCCCUGAUCCCCUGGCUCCCCAGCACACAUUCCUUUGAAAUAAGGUUUCAAUAUACAUCUACAUACUAUAUAUAUAUUUGGCAACUUGUAUUUGUGUGUAUAUAUAUAUAUAUGUUUAUGUAUAUAUGUGAUUCUGAUAAAAUAGACAUUGCUAUUCUGUUUUUUAUAUGUAAAAACAAAACAAGAAAAAAUAGAGAAUUCUACAUACUAAAUCUCUCUCCUUUUUUAAUUUUAAUAUUUGUUAUCAUUUAUUUAUUGGUGCUACUGUUUAUCCGUAAUAAUUGUGGGGAAAAGAUAUUAACAUCACGUCUUUGUCUCUAGUGCAGUUUUUCGAGAUAUUCCGUAGUACAUAUUUAUUUUUAAACAACGACAAAGAAAUACAGAUAUAUCUUAAAAAAAAAAAGCAUUUUGUAUUAAAGAAUUUAAUUCUGAUCUC